rnacentral:rRNA from 1 species
UACGUAGGGUCCGAGCGUUGUCCGGAAUUAUUGGGCGUAAAGAGCUCGUAGGCGGUUUGUCGCGUCUGCUGUGAAAUCCCGAGGCUCAACCUCGGGCCUGCAGUGGGUACGGGCAGACUGGAGUGCGGUAGGGGAGAAUGGAAUUCCUGGUGUAGCGGUGGAAUGCGCAGAUAUCAGGAGGAACACCGAUGGCGAAGGCAGUUCUCUGGGCCGUAACUGACGCUGAGGAGCGAAAGCCAGGGGAGCAAACGGG